rnacentral:rRNA from 1 species
AACGAACGCUGGCGGCAGGCUUAACACAUGCAAGUCGAACGCACCUUUCGGGGUGAGUGGCAGACGGGUGAGUAACGCGUGGGAAUCUACCCUUCUCUACGGGAUAGCUCCGGGAAACUGGAAUUAAUACCGUAUACGUCCUGAGGGAGAAAGAUUUAUCGGGGAAGGAUGAGCCCGCGUUGGAUUAGCUAGUUGGUGGGGUAAAGGCCUACCAAGGCGACGAUCCAUAGCUGGUCUAAGAGGAUGAUCAGCCACAUUGGGACUGAGACACGGCCCAAACUCCUACGGGAGGCAGCAGUGGGGAAUAUUGGACAAUGGGCGCAAGCCUGAUCCAGCCAUGCCGCGUGAGUGAUGAAGGCCCUAGGGUUGUAAAGCUCUUUCAGGGGGGAUGAUAAUGACGGUACCCACAGAAGAAGCCCCGGCUAACUUCGUG